GUAUUUAUAUAGCUAGAUCAUGAGCCAUCAUCAAAUAUGCAACUUCCUAGUUCCUACAUGCAACUACCCGUCUGAACAAGUUGUCAUCAAAUUCAACCAAGAAUAUAUAGAAGAAGCACAACUAGCAAUUUCCUUUAGAAAUCCAAGAUUAUAUAAAAAUCAUGCCAAUGGUUAGUGGUGAGGAAAUGUUUCUUGCUGAUUAAGUUAAUUUCAAACAAAGAAUCUGUGGAAAAGUCAACAAAUGGGCAUGACUUUUUUUUG
rnacentral:misc_RNA from 1 species